rnacentral:rRNA from 1 species
AUUGAACGCUGGCGGCAUGCUUUACACAUGCAAGUCGAACGGUAACAGGGAGCUUGCUCCGCCGACGAGUGGCGAACGGGUGAGUAAUGCGUCGGAACGUGCCGAGUAGUGGGGGAUAACGCAUCGAAAGGUGUGCUAAUACCGCAUACGUACUGAGGUAGAAAGUGGGGGACCUUCGGGCCUCACGCUAUUCGAGCGGCCGACGUCUGAUUAGCUAGUAGGUGAGGUAAAGGCUCACCUAGGCGACGAUCAGUAGCGGGUCUGAGAGGAUGAUCCGCCACACUGGGACUGAGACACGGCCCAGACUCCUCCGGGAGGCAGCAGUGGGGAAUUUUGGACAAUGGGCGAAAGCCUGAUCCAGCCAUGCCGCGUGUCUGAAGAAGGCCUUCGGGUUGUAAAGGACUUUUGUCGGGGAGGAAAUCCCCAGCGCUAAUACCGCUGGGGGAUGACAGUACCUGAAGAAUAAGCACCGGCUAACUACGUGCCAGCAGCCGCCGUAACAC